rnacentral:sRNA from 1 species
AUGUUGCUGCUGUUGCAUAUGCUGCUGCUGCUGUUGCUGCUGCUGUUGUCGUUGCAUCAUCUGCUGAUGCAUAAACUGAUGCACCUGCUGCUGAUGUUGAUGCUGCUGAUGCGCUGCCGUCAUCUUGGACAUCAUUUGCGGCGACAACUGUUGCUGCUGCUGCUGCUGUUGCGCCUGAUGAUGUUGCGGUUGUGGCUGUGCAUUC